CCCUUCGAUGUUCUGGGCCGCACGCGUGCUACACUGAUGCGUUCAACGAGUGCCAAGCGGCCUUUGGUCGCUAAUCCCUUGGUCGAUAGAUCCCCGGUAAUCUUCUGAAAGCGCAUCGUGAUUGGGAUAGAUGAUUGCAAUUGUUCAUCUUCAACGAGGAAUGCCUAGUAAUCGCGAGUCAUCAACUCGCAAUGAUUACGUCCCUGCCCUUUGUACACACCGCCCGUCGCUUCUACCGAUUGAGUGAUCCGGUGAACUCUUAGGACUGCGCGCCCUCGUGGCGUCGCAGGAAUUUGCGUAAAUCAUAUCACUUAGAGGAAGAAGAAGUCGUAACA
rnacentral:rRNA from 1 species